GACGAACGCUGGCGGCGGGCUUAACACAUGCAAGUCGAACGAGUGGCGGACGGGUGAGUAAUGCUUGGGAACCUGGCUUAUGGAGGGGGAUAACGACGGGAAACUGUCGCUAAUACCGCGAACAAUAGGAUGAGCCCAAGUGGGAUUAGGUAGUUGGUGGGGUAAUGGCCCACCAAGCUGACGAUCUCUAGCUGGUCUGAGAGGAUGAACAGCCACACCGGGACUGAGAGACGGCCCGGACUCCUACGGGAGGAAGCAGUGGGGAAUAUUUCGCAAUGGGGGCAACCCUGACGCAGCCAUGCGGCGUGAAGGAAGAAGGCCUUCGGGUUGUAAAGUUCUUUCGGUAUUGAGGCGUUAAUUACAGAAGAAGCACCGGCUAAAUCCGUGCCAGCAGCCGCGGUAAUAC
rnacentral:rRNA from 1 species